UACGUAGGGGGCAAGCGUUGUCCGGAUUUAUUGGGCGUAAAGAGCGUGUAGGCGGCCAGACAGGUCCGAUGUGAAAACUCGAGGCUCAACCUCGAGAUGUCGGUGGAAACCGUCUGGCUAGAGUCCGGAAGAGGAGAGUGGAAUUCCCGGUGUAGCGGUGAAAUGCGCAGAUAUCGGGAAGAACACCCGUGGCGAAGGCGGCUCUCUGGGACGGUACUGACGCUGAGACGCGAAAGCGUGGGGAGCGAACAGG
rnacentral:rRNA from 1 species